rnacentral:rRNA from 1 species
GUCCACGCCGUAAACGAUGGAUACUAGCUGUUUGGAGCAAUCUGAGUGGCUAAGCGAAAGUGAUAAGUAUCCCACCUGGGGAGUACGAACGCAAGUUUGAAACUCAAAGGAAUUGACGGGGGCCCGCACAAGCGGUGGAGCAUGUGGUUUAAUUCGAUGAUACGCGAGGAACCUUACCAAGGCUUAAAUGUAGAUUGACAGGUUUGGAAACAGACUUUUCUUCGGACAAUUUACAAGGUGCUGCAUGGUUGUCGU